rnacentral:rRNA from 1 species
CGCCCGUCCCGCCGCCCCCGCCCGUGCAGCAGUCGCGAAACCUUCGCAAUGCGCGAAAGCGCGACGAGGCUACUCUGAGUGCCACCCGCUGAGGGUGGCUUUUCUCGGGUGUAAAAAGCCCGAGGAAUAAGGGGAGGGCAAGUCUGGUGUCAGCCGCCGCGGUAAUACCAGCUCCUCGAGUGGUUGGGGCGUUUAUUGGGCCUAAAGCAUCCGUAGCCGGCCCCAUAAGUCCUCCGUUAAAUCCAACGGCUCAACCGUUGGGCUGCGG